CGAGACCUCAGGUCAGACG
rnacentral:rRNA from 3 species